AGCUCCAGUAGCGUAUAUUAAAGCUGUUGCAGUUAAAAAGCUCGUAGUUGGAUCUUGGGCCCAGGCCUGCGGUCCGCCGUGAGGCGAGUACUGCAGUCCUGGCCUUCCUCUCGGUUUUCGCCCGGUGCUCUUAACUGAGUGCCAGGAGAGGCCGGAACGUUUACUUUGAAAAAAUUGGAGUGCUCAAAUCAGGCCCAAUGCCUGAACAGAUGUGCAUGGAAUAAUGGAAAAGGACUUCGGUUCUAUUUUGUUGGUUUUCGGAACAUGAAGUAAUGAUUAAGAGGGACAGACGGGGGCAUUCGUAUUGCGGUGGGAGAGGUGAAAUUCUUGGAUCAUCGCAAGACGCCCUACAGCGAAAGCAUUUGCCAAGAAUGUUUCCAUUAAUCAAGAACGAAAGUAG
rnacentral:rRNA from 1 species